rnacentral:misc_RNA from 1 species
UGCAGGCAGUGUUGGUUUAGCUACAUAGAACAUAAUUAGACAACAAAAUUAUAGGUGAAAUACAUCCAGCACAUUUUUUGUUACAAACUUCAGAUUCCAGAUUUCAAAAUUCCAAGAUGCUAUUCAUAUUGUGCUCUCUUUGUCCAAUCAGCAAAUGACCGUAAAAAUGAAGGGAGUAUUAGUAAUAUGAGUAAAUGUCAAAAAAUUACAUAAUGCAUUAACCUGUUACUCUCCAACUA